UACAGAGGGUGCAAGCGUUAAUCGGAAUUACUGGGCGUAAAGCGCGCGUAGGCGGUUUGUUAAGUUGGAUGUGAAAUCCCCGGGCUCAACCUGGGAACUGCAUCCAAAACUGGCAAGCUAGAGUAUGGUAGAGGGUGGUGGAAUUUCCUGUGUAGCGGUGAAAUGCGUAGAUAUAGGAAGGAACACCAGUGGCGAAGGCGACCACCUGGACUGAUACUGACACUGAGGUGCGAAAGCGUGGGGAGCAAACAGG
rnacentral:rRNA from 1 species